rnacentral:rRNA from 1 species
GACAGAGGGUGCAAACGUUGUUCGGAAUUACUGGGCAUAAAGCGCACGUAGGUGGUCCACUAAGUCGAGUGUGAAAUCCCCCGGCUCAACCGGGGAAUGGCGCUCGAUACUGGUGGGCUAGAGGUCGGUAGGGGUGAGCGGAACUCCAGGUGGAGCGGUGAAAUGCGUAGAUAUCUGGAGGAACACCGGUGGCGAAAGCGGCUCACUGGACCAGUACCGACGUUCAGGCACGAAAGCGUGGGGAGCAAACAGG